rnacentral:lncRNA from 1 species
AUCAAGCGCUGCAGGAAGAGGAGACGAGCAGCUUUGAUCUGGCCGCUCUUUUUCCUCUCUCUCUCUCUCUCUCUCUCUCUCUCUCUCUCUCUCUCUCCAUCUCUUUGACUCCGCUGCCGUCUUUAACGUCGGCAGCUCCCUGCUCUUUAUUUCCGUGCAGGCUCUCAUUGAUGGCGAUGCAUAAAUUUACCACGGCGUAGAUGUGCUUCACACGUUUCCCGAAGUGUGAAGCAAAGCGCAAGGCACCUGGAAAAUAAACGCGUUAUAAUUACAGAUGAGGAACGCAUCAGGUGUUGGUGGCUUGUCAGGUGAAAGCAGUGACGUGGAUCCGUAGAUGGACAGGGAUGGGACCGAAGGGCACGAUUCAUAUUUAAUAGGCAUCAUCUCCAUCCUCUGCGCUCACCUCUUCAGCUCCUCAUCCUCGACUCCUCCAGUCAUAGCGUUUGGGCUUUUAUGCUCACGGUGCUCCCUUUCCUGUGAGAUAAAGCAGGUCGGAACUUGAGUCCACAGGCCGCAGAUGUCUCCCUGUUCAUUCCUUCCCUGCAUCUUUUCUCCCCUCCACACCUCACGUCCGUCCUCUGAGUGAGGAGCUCACCUCACGCUCUCUCCCUCAUGUACAGACGGACGGACGGACGGACGGACGGAAAGGUGGAUUUGUCGCUCCACCUCUUCGCUGUUAUGAUAUCGAGCGCCAGCCCACUCCUGUCAUCACUGUCGCGGCAAACAGAUUGCCUUUACACUCUGCCACUUUACUCGUCUGAAUAGCUCUCUCUUCCCUCCCUUCGACUAUUUUUCUUUUAUUUCCCCUUAAGCUCCCUUCCCGCUCUCCUCUUGUCUCCAGAGCUUCAUUUUUCUCCCUACCUCUGGCAUAUAAGCAACUCUGGCGUGACAUAAGCGAUCAAUUUAACAAUAUAUAUUGAGCAGGGGUCCCGGGAGAAAUUUGUAAUCAAGAAGUGUAUUGAUCCAGUGUAUUAUUCUGUAGUUUGCUGUUGGAACACAGUCACAUAAUAAUGCUUGAUUAUGGGCAGAUGCGCAAAAAUGAGACAAAGUAGAAGCUGGGGCCGAGCUCCUCCGAGGACAGAGCAGGGAAUCAGACGGACUCUCUGAAGAGGACGUGUUUGCUCUGUGUUUUUUCCAGCUUCGGGCGCAGGAGGAUGACUGACAGCCUCCAAAGCAGAAGUGUACACUAUCACGAUGUGGUUGCGAUAAAGGAUGACCACGCACCAUAGUGCUGAAUAAUGGAUGGAGAUAAACGGAUGGAAAACAUGCCGUAUAGGCUCAAUUUCAGAUAAUCUCCGUCCCACUGAGCAAGAUGCAUCAGACUACAACAGGAAGUGAUUCUUUUGCCUUAUUGGACCUUUUGCUGAACUUUUUUUUUUUUGCAUUAACUUGAGCAGAUGGAUCGUACUGUACUGUAGGUAGUGCUGCAAUGGUGGCAUCUAUCUGUCUGUUGUUAAAUGGGGCUUCACACUUUUAAACUUUAGUUAAUUCGCCUGAACCGA